UGGGGAAUUUUGGACAAUGGGCGCAAGCCUGAUCCAGCCAUGCCGCGUGCGGGAAGAAGGCCUUCGGGUUGUAAACCGCUUUUGUCAGGGAAGAAAUCCUUUGAGCUAAUACCUCGGGGGGAUGACGGUACCUGAAGAAUAAGCACCGGCUAACUACGUGCCAGCAGCCGCGGUAAUACGUAGGGUGCGAGCGUUAAUCGGAAUUACUGGGCGUAAAGCGUGCGCAGGCGGUUAUGUAAGACAGGUGUGAAAUCCCCGGGCUUAACCUGGGAACUGCACUUGUGACUGCAUAGCUUGAGUGCGGCAGAGGGGGAUGGAAUUCCGCGUGUAGCAGUGAAAUGCGUAGAUAUGCGGAGGAACACCGAUGGCGAAGGCAAUCCCCUGGGCCUGCACUGACGCU
rnacentral:rRNA from 1 species